rnacentral:rRNA from 1 species
GGACCGAGCAAGAUGCCACACACACAGGCCAGAGGCCACUGUCUCAAAUAAGAUUCUGGCCAUGGUUUUGUAAACUAUGAUUGGCAGCCCAAAAAUUAUUGCAACCUUUUUUUUCUGUCCUCCUCCUGCCGCUGAUGAUGUCCAGCAUCUUGCAGAUGCCCACUAGAAAGAAAGAACACCCCCAUGUUAUUUUUUGGCUACUUGGGCAUGCACAAAAGGAGAACCUUAUCUACACUCCACCAACUCAUCAGAUGAUGAGUGAGCUUAUCUAGCAGUAGAAGCAAGUCGUCAUCAAACUUUUCAUCAUGGUUUGCAACAGGACAGAAGGGAAAGAUGACAGGGGAGAAGGGGGGGAGCAGCAGCAGAUUGGUAAAAGCUGUAAAGCUUUGCACUUUGCAUCAGUACAUGCGAAUUUCAGGAUCAACAUGGUCCAUCCCAAUCCAAGGGCAACGGUAUUUUAAUUUUCCCCUCACAAAUCACCUAGAGAAAGAUAGUUUCAAAUUACCAAAGUAAGAAGAAAAUACUACUCAAGAACUCCCAGAUCUCUCAGAUUAACUGUAUACCUGGCUGGCAUACCUGAGAUCAGCCAGGUGACUAGAUUCUACAUGUAGUAAGGCUGCAGAUUAUCAAGAACUGGUGUUUUUUGCUCAUCGUCACAUGGACUUGUACAGAAAAGUUAUUUUUUUUUCUCACCAUCAGGGUUGAAGAAGCACUUUGCGGCAAAGAAGAAGAAGAAGCACGGCAAGAAGUUAAGCAAGGAAGAACUAGCCUAGUACUAGUAGUAAGUAGGAGUAGCAAACAUCUCAUCAGUAACUCACAUCCUUCCUCGCUAGCUGCUACACAGCAUCCAUGGCGAUGCCAAGUACCAUCCGGUCGGGCCAAGCUAGCCGGGCCGGACGCGCUUCUGUCCGGCGGCGGCGGCGCGGCCGGCGGCAUCGGAGGAGCGCAGCGUGCCCGAGGAGUCGCCCUCCGAGGAGCCGCCGUCCAUGGCGGCGCCACGGUGCGCGAAGGAGGCAGAGAGGUCGGCGUAGAGGCCGACGACGCGGCGGAUGUUGUUGUUGAGCUCCCGGAUGAGGCCGACGUUGCGGGUGAGGCUGUCCGGCGCCCGGGACUCGUGGUUCUGGUUGAUCUCGGAGAUGAGCAUCCGGUUCUGGUCCAGGAUGCUCUGCACCUGUACGAAGCUCUUGUGGAACGUCUGGAUCAGCUUCCCGUCCACCACCUGGUGGUGCCCCCCUCCGCCGCCGCCGCCGCCGCCGCCUCCAUUGCCCAUCCCCGAGAAGCUCUCGCCUUCCAUCCCUUUCUCCCUCUCCAAACUCACUCUUGUUGAUUCUUCUUCACCAGAGCUAGCUAGAGUGUCCCCUGAAAUUGACCCAUAAAUUACAAAAUUAGUUGGCUAAACUUUGCAUUUAUGUGGGGAUCGGGCUGUACUGGAAACAAAUAAAGACCCAUCAAGAACAUCUAGUCUACUAGCACAAAGAAUAAAUGUGCGGGUAUUGUACUAGUACAAGGCAAUACUAGCACGCAAUCGAGGCAGCGGGUUGCAUGUGAAAACCAGUGUGAAGAUGAAACCCAAGACAAUAAAUCACCUCUCUGAAUUUCCUCCUAGAAAAUAAAAUCCAAGCAUCAGGGGAGCCGGCCGGCUGGCUCUAUCAUCUAGAAUG